rnacentral:rRNA from 1 species
UACGUAGGGUGCGAGCGUUGUCCGGAAUUAUUGGGCGUAAAGAGCUCGUAGGCGGUGUGUCGCGUCGGCCGUGAAAACCUGGGGCUUAACUCUGGGCGUGCGGUCGAUACGGGCAUCACUAGAGUUCGGCAGGGGAGACUGGAAUUCCUGGUGUAGCGGUGAAAUGCGCAGAUAUCAGGAGGAACACCAAUGGCGAAGGCAGCUCGCUGGGACGGUACUGACGCUGAGGCGCGAAAGCGUGGGGAGCAAACAGG